UAACAUUGUCCAAGCUGAUGAUGUUAUUCCAAAACUAUUUGGCACUUUUAAUGGUACUCAACUUGAGAAUCUGUUAUGGGAUUUUGUUGAGAGUGUCAUCCAAGAGUCUAUUGAUACACUUGAUAGGACUGCUAUAUGGUUAGAGAUCUGCAGUAAAAGCAGUUGGCUGUUGAGCUCAGUGAAACGGCA